UGUGUUCAACUAGUAUCAAAACGUGCACAUUGGAAAACUCUGACUGGGCUUUCAACUUGUCAGCUGCAUCGCUUAGAACUCUCAAUGUUGCUGAUGCCAAGUCUGCAUUUACUGAUAACUGUUCAACAGCUUCUGUCAAAAUGUUCUGCUCGCUACCCCUCAAGUCACUCCAUGCAUCUAGGAGAUGUGAAACCAUUUGGACCUUUUGUUUAGACAUCUGGACCACAGAGAUGCCUUAUGAUAGUGACGCAGACCCCCAGAGUUCGUCUCAUCAGCUCCACGUCUUCAUUGGACACGUAGACAAAAGUAUAUCCCAUAAACUCAUCAAAGACCAUGUUGGUGCCAUCUUGACACUUCAUCGAUGUGUACGUAUUCCCAAACUGCGAUGCCAUAACGUGCUGCGAAGUGACAAUUGGCGAGAACAACUGCAUUAUGAUGUUUGGACUGGGUUUGAAGUGUUGUGAAUCAUUUUCAUCCUAAACAAGCGAACACAGAGUGAAGCAAGACACCAUUGGAAGACUAAUAUUCCAUUACCAUCUUCAAACAUUUGCAUACCAAAAAAGGAAAGUCUACGUUUGAAAACAAAAAUUUCAAAGUCACUACUUUAGAAUUCAAAAACUCCCACCUUGUUCUCACCGACCAAGCCUUGGAGCCUGGCCAGCUUCUGUAUGUGAUUGGCGAACUUCCUGUUGCACUUGGUGAACAGCACAUCGUUCAGAUGAUCGAAUAUCAUUAUCCCCUUCAUGGCGUGUUUCGAUGAAAAAAUACUCGUGUACUUCACUAAUACGGUGCGUAAAAAAAAGUCUUCUGCGACGGGGAGCGAACUUCUCUAUCGCCGUAUUGUUUCUCACGACGCCUAUAUCCUCGGCGUUACGUAAAAUCACGGCGGUGUUAUUGAACGCGCGUCCGUCAAACGAACAGGUUUCGCCUAGCCGCAAGCGAGUACUACACGCGGUUUUAUUUUUGCUAAGUAUACACAGUUGUGUCGUCUGUUCGCGCUGCGAAGGCGUCUGCUAUUGUGGAGCACACAACGUGUGCGGAGGAGACGAGUGUAAGACGUCGUCGUGUGUUGACAAUGUAGGUGGCAGCAGUGCGUCCAUUGAUUUUUUUAUCUCGACUCGGAGAGUGAGACGAGUGAACUCGGGCUCGCGAUAACUGUUGUUGCUACUGCACUUUUUCUCGGUACUCAAUCAAGCUAUUUUCGUUAUCGUUCUAUUUAUUUAUGAGUUAUGCAAUUUGAAAACAAAUGGUUGUUCCAAUGGGAUGAUUUGUUAAAUAUUGCCGCGCUGUAUUUGACAAUGAAAAAUGCUUUACAUCGUCUUGCUCUAUUCCGAUAAGUCCGGCCCGUUAUCUCGCAUGGACUUUUCUUCAACUUCUCGCUAUUAAUACUUACGAUUGAUUGUUUAUGCACUAGAGAUUAUAAUCCCGUGCGUCACGUUAUGACGAAUAUUCGAAAGAAUUGGCAUUCUCGGUAGAUAUGUUUUUUUCGGUUUUCAAAGUGUUCUCAGAUGAUAAUAAAACAGGAAAUAUACAAUCGAAUGCAGUUUGAAGUUGAUUUAUCGUUUAUUUACAGUAACACAAAUAUAUUAAUAUAAUUUGUCGGAAUAAAAAUUAACUUUUACAAGCCUAACGAAUACGCUACGAUCAAAAUAGCGUUUGAACGUAAAACAUACGGAUCACGUUUAAAUUACAAAACGUUUUACAAGAUAUUAUACUGCGAUGGAUUAUGCGCGUGACGCUUUGUAUCACGACGAAGUGUGUGUGUGGCAAAACCUUUAUAUCUAUCUGCUCGAGUUAUACACAAAACUUUAUCCAAACUCAUGCGUUUACAUGUACUUUCAAUUAACUUUAAUCAAACGCGGCUGAAUUAUGUUUCAUUGCUUACGGAUUCGAUAUAACACUGGUAUUUUUCCCAAAAACUUAACAACGCAAUCUCGGUGUUUGUGUGUAUAUAAUAUUUAGCAUCGAUUCGCAAACGAGCGUGAAUUCGAUCUUGCGGGCGAAGAUUUAUAUUUUUUUUUUCUCUUGAACAAUGUUUUAUUAUAUACUUA
rnacentral:lncRNA from 1 species